GGUUGUGCUUGCUUCGGCCGCACACUAAAACUGGAACGAUCCAGAGAUUAGCACGAGCCCUGCGCAAGGAUGACACACAAACGCGUGAAGCGGUCCAUAUUUUU